rnacentral:rRNA from 1 species
AUUGAACGCUGGCUACAGGCUUAACACAUGCAAGUCGAGGGGCAGCAUGAGGUUUGCUUGGAAACCUUGAGGGCGACCGGUGCACGGUUGAUUAACGCGUGUCCAACCUUGCGGGACCCGAAAAUAACCUGCCGAAAGGUCCACUAAUACUCCAUGGUUUCCGCUGAGGGAUUCAAAUGUGUAAUAAAGAUUUGUUUUGCUUAGGGAUGGGGAUGCGUCGGAGAGGCUUGUGGUCGGGGUAACGGCCCACUGUGGCUGCUAUGAGAAGGGGUUCUGAGAGGAGGUACUGAAAAUUGGAACUGACUCCUAGUCCAAGCUCCUACGGGAAAUUUUGGAGGGGAAUAUUGGUCAAUGGACGGAAUUCUGAACCAGCCAAGAAGCGUGCAGGAUGACGGCCCUCUGGGUUGUAAACUGCUUUUAUGCUUUUCAUAAAGUUAGUCACGUGUGACUAUUUGCAAGAACCGCAUGAAUAAAGACCCGUGCAUUCCGCGGCAGCAGCCGCGGUGGUACAGAAGGUCCUCGCGUUAUCUGGAUUUAUUGCGUUUACAGGGAGUUAUGGCCGAGGAUUGUGCAUGCUGUGAGCUGUACACGCUCACCGUCUGACUUGCUGCGCAAACUGAUUCACUUGAAUGUGCGCAGCACUCGCCGAGUUCCUGGUGUAUGCGUGAAUUGCCUAAAUAUCACGAAUAGCUCCGAUUGUCAAGGGGCUUGCGCGAGCACAACUGACCCUGAGCCUCGAAAGUGCGGGGUCAAAAAGG